rnacentral:tRNA from 1 species
GAAUAAAUAACUAAAAUUAAGUACAUCACUUACACUGAUGGAAUGGUUACUCCCUUUAUUUU